AGAUGCUUCUCUGAGAGAGCCAGUGGUGGAGCACUAUGAUAAUGUCACUGCUGAUGACGAGACCAACCUCAAUGAUUUGUUGACAGAAGAGACAACGGCACACGUGCAGCCAGAGGAGUAUGAUGAUGUAGAUGACGUAGAUGACGUCACGAGUAUGAAGUCGUCUGAGGUGACUGAGAACACAGGAUAUGAUGACGUGGGAG